CUGCUUCAGCAGCACAUAUGCUAGAAUUGGAACAAUUCAGAGAUUAUCAUGGGUCCUAUAAAAGAAUGACAUGCAAAUUUGUGAAGUGUUCCAUAUUUUU
ensembl:snRNA U6 U6 spliceosomal RNA